GUUCCGGUUAGCUCAGUCAGUUGAGUGUAGUGCUAACAACGCUAAGGUCGCGGGUUCGAUUCCCAUUCGGUUCC
rnacentral:tRNA from 1 species